AUAGGCUUAUUUUUUAUUGCUACCAAAAUAAAAAAAAUGACAUCAUACAACUCUUGCUUGUAAAUAAGCAAGUCUUAUUUAGGCUAAAAUGGAGAAGCCAUUAAGCUAACGCUAACACAAUCAACUAGUCUUCUGUCUUUGUACAUUUUGUAGCUAUACCAUGCAUAUCACCUAUGAGUUGUUGUAGAUGGCAUUGGAUAUGUAAUAAGACCCAAGUUCAUUAUUGCACCUGGAACCACUACUCCUGGUAUUGGGGCUCUAAAGCCAUAAGCCAUGUAUGCAGGGCCAAGA
rnacentral:misc_RNA from 1 species